AUGGAUCACACGGGCCCCAAUGGAGGA
rnacentral:misc_RNA from 1 species